UUGCUAAUGCUACUGCAGAGUCAUAAGCCCAGAGUCCAAAGAUGUUCAAAUCCAGGUCAUGAUUUGUUGGGUUUUGCUGGUGAAGCACUUUCUUGUAUUCGACUGUGAAGUUGUCAAGCUCUUCCGAUUUCGGAAUAUGAGUGAUGAUCCACGAGUAAUCUUCGCUCAUCAUUCCCAGUAGUUUAGCUUUGGUGAAUAGGCGAGAACCAAGACCAGUCAGCAUGUGGACAAUGAAAAUUCUAGUUUGCAUUGUCAUAAGCUUGUAAAGCUCUGCAACAAUCUCAUCAUCUGUUGCUGAUGAUGGGAUGGCACUCCUGUAAGAUAGGCACAACUUCUCUCCAUCCAAAGGCUUGAACUAUUGCAGCUAUGGCCUUUACUUGGGAAGAGUCGCUUAAGGCAGCGCGAACAAAGUAUGGACUUCGGAUUGACAAGAGAGACGGGCUUGAGGCUGAAAAUGUUAUGAUCGCUACAUAUAUACGGUGCAGCGAAGAUAUGUCAAUUGAAGAAAAUAGAUGAACAUUACCUGCAGCAGCUGCCCCAACGACGUCUCUCUCGGAGUCCCUCUUGUUGAGAACCAGCCGAGUCCGGUAGUGGCCAUUUCUGGUGUAGAAAUCCGAGAGCGCCAUUGUGAUGCAGUUCAACCCCAUUUUUCCGACA